UACGAGGGGUGCAAGCGUUGCUCGGAAUUAUUGGGCGUAAAGGGUAGGUAGGUGGUCUCAUUUGUCUGGGGUGAAAUCCUUGAGCUUAACUCAAGAACUGCCCCAGAAACGGUGAGACUCGAGUACUGGAGAGGGUCGUGGAAUUCCCGGUGUAGCGGUGAAAUUCGUAGAUAUCAGGAGGAACACCGGUGGCGAAGGCGGCCUUCUGGACAGUAACUGACGCUGAGACGCGAAAGCGUGGGGAGCGAACAGG
rnacentral:rRNA from 1 species